rnacentral:rRNA from 1 species
UACGAAGGGUGCAAACGUUGCUCGGAAUCAUUGGGCGUAAAGCGCACGUAGGCGGCUUCGCAAGUCGGAUGUGAAAUCCCUCGGCUCAACCAAGGACGUGCAUCCGAAACUGCGAAGCUUGAGUACAGAAGAGGAUCGCGGAAUUCCCGGUGUAGAGGUGAAAUUCGUAGAUAUCGGGAGGAACACCAGUGGCGAAAACGGCGAUCUGGGCUGAUACUGACGCUGAGGUGCGAAAGCGUGGGGAGCAAACAGG